UUGACCUCGGAUCAGGUAGGAUUACCCGCUGAACUU
rnacentral:rRNA from 1 species